rnacentral:rRNA from 1 species
AUUGAACGCUGGCGGCAUGCCUUACACAUGCAAGUCGAACGGCAGCACGGGGCAACCUGGUGGCGAGUGGCGAACGGGUGAGUAAUGCAUCGGAACGUACCUUUCAGUGGGGGAUAACGUAGCGAAAGUUACGCUAAUACCGCAUAUUCUGUGAGCAGGAAAGCAGGGGAUCGCAAGACCUUGAGCUGAUUGAGCGGCCGAUGUCAGAUUAGCUAGUUGGUGAGGUAAAGGCUCACCAAGGCGACGAUCUGUAGCGGGUCUGAGAGGAUGAUCCGCCACACUGGAACUGAGACACGGUCCAGACUCCUACGGGAGGCAGCAGUGGGGAAUUUUGGCCAAUGGGGGCAACCCUGAUCCAGCCAUGACGCGUGAGUGAAGAAGGCAUUCGGGUUGUAAAGCUCUUUCGGCCGGGAAGAAAUCGCACGGGCUAAUACCCUGUGUGGAUGACGGUACCGGAAUAAGAAGCACCGGCUAACUACGUGCCAGCCGCCGCGGUAAAAC